UAGUAGUUUUANUCCUGGCUCAGGAUGAACGCUAGCGGCAGGCUUAACACAUGCAAGUCGAGGGGCAGCGCGAGUAGCAAUACUUGGCGGCGACCGGCGCAAGGGUGCGUAACGCGUGAGCAACAUGCCCGUAUCAGGGGGAUAAUCCAGGGAAACUUGGUCUAAUACCCCAUAGUAAUUUCGUAAGGCAUCUUAUGGGAUUUAAAGCUUUGGUGGAUACGGAUUGGCUCGCGUGACAUUAGCUGGAUGGUAAGGUAACGGCUUACCAUGGCAAUGAUGUCUAGGGGUUCUGAGAGGAAGGUCCCCCACACUGGAACUGAGACACGGUCCAGACUCCUACGGGAGGCAGCAGUGAGGAAUAUUGGACAAUGGAUGGAAAUCUGAUCCAGCCAUGCCGCGUGAAGGAAGAAUGUCCUAUGGAUUGUAAACUUCUUGGUAUGGGAGCAAUAAGGUAUUCGUGAAUACUGANGAGAGU
rnacentral:rRNA from 1 species